UUUUUGUUUUUGUUUUUUAAAGAAAGAUCAAACAAAACACUGAAAGAACAUCAUGAGGUUUGAAGUGGAGUAUUCAAAGACUUGUAGUUUUCCCUGGAGAACAUCACGUGAGAACCUCAGCCUUCAGCUAAGAGCCUCUAAUGCUCCGUUUUGAUUUUUUGGAUUAGAUCUUUCACUUCUUCACAUCUGCGAUCAGCGUGAUCCCACCCGUCCUGAAAUGACCUGCUCAUGAUUUCCAAAACUCUACCGUCACGUGCAUUUCUGCAAAAACAAGAGAAGUUCAAUUUCACAAAUUGCAAAACUAAUUUGUCUUAACUGUGUUUCGUUCCCUAGAGUUUUGCUUCAACUGAAGUGUUUUCCCAAGUAUCAAUGAAAUCUCUCAACUCCCACUGACUUCCUUUGCUGCUGCUUUCAUCUCUUUUCUUUUACUCUUUUCCAGCGUAUAGGUGCUCCGGCUGUGAACGAUGAAGUAACGUGUGAUGUUGCAGAAAUGCGUGAAUGUUAAUGCGACGGUUCAUACAGAGGUCACAUGGUGAAUUGGAUGUGCAUCGGAUUCAGGAUCCCCAAGUGGCCCGAAUCUGAUGUUAACUGAUGGACUGGAGUGCUGUGGAUUACUUGUGGAAUAUUGUGAUGUUUUUAUCAGCUGUUUGG
ensembl:lncRNA